AAAGCAGGUUGCAAUUACAGUGCUUCAUUUUGUGGAAGUACUGCCAUUAUCCUGCUGAAAGAAAAGCCGUGUUAAUCAUUUUUGAUUUUGCCUUUGAGGGUAAAAUCAUGAGAGAUUGACAUGGACAAUU